CCUACGGGAGGCAGCAGUGGGGAAUAUUGCACAAUGGGGGAAACCCUGAUGCAGCGACGCCGCGUGAGUGAUGAAGUAUUUCGGUAUGUAAAGCUCUAUCAGCAGGGAAGAAGAAGACGGUAACUGACGAAGAAGCCCCGGCGAACUACGUGCCAGCAGCCGCGGUAAUACGUAGGGGGCAAGCGUUAUCCGGAUUUACUGGGUGUAAAGGGAGCGGAGACGGGGCUGCAAGCAUGAUGGGAACGCCCGGGGCUCAACCCCGGGACUGCAUUUGGAACUGUGUGGCUGGAGUGUCGGAGAGGCAGGCGGAAUUCCUCGUGUAGCGGUGAACUGCGUAGAUAUUAGGAGGAACACCAGUGGCGAAGGCGGCCUGCUGGACGAUGACUGACGUUGCGGCUC
rnacentral:rRNA from 1 species